UACGAAGGGGGCUAGCGUUGUUCGGAAUUACUGGGCGUAAAGCGCACGUAGGCGGAUAUUUAAGUCAGGGGUGAAAUCCCAGAGCUCAACUCUGGAACUGCCUUUGAUACUGGGUAUCUCGAGUAUGGAAGAGGUGAGUGGAAUUCCGAGUGUAGAGGUGAAAUUCGUAGAUAUUCGGAGGAACACCGGUGGCGAAGGCGGCGAUCUGGGUAGAUACUGACGCUGAGGUGCGAAAGCGUGGGGAGCGAACAGG
rnacentral:rRNA from 1 species